ACUACACGACCGCGCCGGCCGGAGUCACAACUCAUCUCGCGCUUACAGUGAUCGCACGCUACCCAAGAUGUAUACUAACCCGUUUGAGAGGAAGCAUUCCGCGCUUAUGCAGACCCUGGACCGCUUCAUCAAGGGCGGGACCAGGUUGAGCUUCAGGAAGAAGAGCAACCUGACCAAGAGUGUCAGCAACGCCUCAACGAUGUCCUCCGCGUCGUCCAUCGAAUGUGCCCAGAGAAACCUCAAGAGAUGAGCGAACUGUGUUGUGUUGUGCUUGUGACAAAAUUAUUGCGGAGUCCCAUUCUGUUAAAGAUUGAGUCGGGACUGGACCCAUGACCGACCGAUUGACGUCAGCUGGGGUCAUUUGUAUCCAUUAGUUUUGGAAGUCAGAUGUAUAAUGUGUAUGAACAUUAAACUGAUUUAG